UCAUUAGAUACCCGGGUAGUUCCCGGGCCUUGUACACACCGCCCGUCAAGCCAUGGGAGUCAGCAACGCCCGAAGUCAGUGACCUAACCGAGAGGGAGGAGCUGCCGAAGGCGGGGCCGGUAACUGGGGUGAAGUCGUAACAAGGUACC
rnacentral:rRNA from 1 species